rnacentral:rRNA from 1 species
GACGAACGCUGGCGGCGUGCCUAAUACAUGCAAGUCGAACGCACUCUCGGUUCGUUUGCCGGGGUUUGCUCCUGGUUGGUAGACUUUUGCGUGGGUGGCUGCCGGGUGGGUAGCGCUUGGGUCACGUGCCCGGCGGUGGUGGCUCACAUUUGGAGACGGAUGCUGAUACCGCAUAUAACCUAACACCGCAUGAUGUGGGGUUGGGAGAUGGUUUCGGCUUUCACUUUUGGAUGGACCCGCGGUGCAUUAGCUAGUUGGUGGGGUAAAGGCUCACCAAGGCCGCGAUGCAUAGCCGGCCUGAGAGGGUAAUCGGCCACACUGGAACUGAGACACGGCCCAGACUCCUACGGGAGGCAGCAGUGGGGAAUAUUCCACAAUGGACGAAAGUCUGAUGCAGCCACGCCGCGUGAGUGAAGAAGGUCUUCGGAUCGUAAAACACUGUAGUUGGAGAAGAAGGGAACUAAUAGUAAAUGAUCAGGUAGUGACGGUACCAAAACAGAAAGCCCCGGCUAACUACGUG